rnacentral:tRNA from 1 species
GCUCACAUAGCUCAGUGGUAGAGCGGAGGAUUGCAGUUUAAAUACUUCUCCUCAGGUCAUCUGUUCGAUCCAGGUUGGGAGCU